UACGAAGGGGGCUAGCGUUGUUCGGAAUUACUGGGCGUAAAGGGCGCGUAGGCGGUGCAUCAAGUCAGGCGUGAAAGCCCCGGGCUCAACCUGGGAACCGCGCUUGAGACUGGUGCGCUAGAGUUCGGGAGAGGAUGGUGGAAUUCCCAGUGUAGAGGUGAAAUUCGUAGAUAUUGGGAAGAACACCGAUGGCGAAGGCAGCCAUCUGGACCGACACUGACGCUGAGGCGCGAAAGCGUGGGGAGCAAACAGG
rnacentral:rRNA from 1 species